UCGGGAAUUUUGGGCAAUGGGCGAAAGCCUGACCCAGCAACGCCGCGUGAAGGAUGAAGUAUUUCGGUAUGUAAACUUCGAAAGAAUAGGAAGAAUAAAUGACGGUACUAUUUAUAAGGUCCGGCUAACUACGUGCCAGCAGCCGCGGUAAUACGUAGGGACCAAGCGUUGUUCGGAUUUACUGGGCGUAAAGGGCGCGUAGGCGGCAAUUCAAGUCAUCUGUGAAAUCUCCGGGCUUAACUCGGAACGGUCAGAUGAUACUGCUUUGCUAGAGUGCAGAAGGGGCAAUCGGAAUUCUUGGUGUAGCGGUGAAAUGCGUAGAUAUCAAGAGGAACACCUGAGGUGAAGACGGGUUGCUAGGCUGAUACUGACGCUGAGGCGCGAAAGCUAGGGUAGCAAACGGGAUUAGAUACCCCCGUAGUCCCUGAGCGGGCUGGCAAGGCGCAU
rnacentral:rRNA from 1 species